CACGCCGUAAACGAUGAGUGCUAGGUGUUAGGGGCGUCACGCCCUUAGUGCCGAAGUAAACACAUUAAGCACUCCGCCUGGGGAGUACGGCCGCAAGGCUGAAACUCAAAGGAAUUGACGGGGGCCCGCACAAGCGGUGGAGCAUGUGGUUUAAUUCGAAGCAACGCGAAGAACCUUACCAGGGCUUGACAUCCUCUGACCCCUCUAGAGAUAGAGGUUUCCCUUCGGGGACAGAGAGACAGGUGG
rnacentral:rRNA from 1 species